UACGUAGGGUGCGAGCGUUGUCCGGAAUUAUUGGGCGUAAAGAGCUUGUAGGCGGUUUGUCGCGUCUGCCGUGAAAAUUCGAGGCUCAACCUCGAACUUGCGGUGGGUACGGGCAGACUAGAGUGUGGUAGGGGAGACUGGAAUUCCUGGUGUAGCGGUGAAAUGCGCAGAUAUCAGGAGGAACACCGGUGGCGAAGGCGGGUCUCUGGGCCAUAACUGACGCUGAGGAGCGAAAGCGUGGGGAGCGAACAGG
rnacentral:rRNA from 1 species